UGAAGCAGUUGGUAGUCUCCGCCGGUCAAUUUUCGUCCCACCUCUCCUGAUUUUUUUUGAUACUUCGUCCCAUCUCCGGCUUUCCACCAUUCCCCCGCAUCUUACCUCCCAACCGAUAAAAAAACGUCAAGAUACAACUACGCCCAUUCUGAACCGCGCCGAUUCACAGCUAGAAAAAAGACCUAAAACGAACUAACACGAUUAACCUACGAAAUUACGCCAGACGCUCGCACCCUCGUGCCCUCGAUGCACUUGCCCGCACGAGUCGCCGCCUUCAUUCGUUCCUACGUCGCUCAAUCCCCUCGCAGCCGCCGCCGAUCCCCUCCCCCAUCUCCCUCCCUCAAACGCCGCCGCCCGUCGCUGCCGCCCCCGCCACCUCCAGCCGCGGCCGCCGCGCCCACCUCCAGCCGCGGCCCCCGCCCCACCUCCAGCUCGACUCCACGAUCCCCUUCCUAUCGAUCGCCCACGCCCCCACCGCUUCGCAUCUGAUCGCCACCAGCGCCCGUGCUCUUCUGGUCGCCGGCCGCCAUGCAGUCCUCCGCGCCGGACCUUUGCGUUGCGUUCCUCCGCGCGAGGCCGCCGCCGCUGCAGCAGCUCUCUCGGAUCCAACACGAAGCUUGCGACGAAGGGCUUGGAGUUGGCCAUGAGUGCUCGAGGUGAAGUGGCGGCAUGCGUUUCUGUAGGGGGGGAGGGGCGCACAUUAGGGAAGUCAACGGCCGGAUCCGAGCACGGAUGAGGCCAGGUUGCCACUUGGGGCCCAUGUCGGUCAGAUCCAGGCAACACAUGGGAGUCGGCGUGGCGGCAGCGUAGUGCCGAGGCAGGAAGGAGGCACGGGACGACACAUCGGCGGGUCGUGGUGCACUGCACGAGAUGAGUGACAUGAUGUAAACAACGCUGUAGGCAUUGAUGCCACACAUGCGUCAUUUUCUACUGCCGAUACUGAUUCUUGAGGGCUACUGGCACUGCCGCCGGGUAUGAGCAGGAACUGCCUCCAUUGAGAACUCUGGGUACUGCCGCUGCCGACGACCAUCGAGCACCGAGUUGGAACUGCCACCAUCAAGGAUGACUGGCCGCCAUUGAGGUUGAUUGUUUUGGCGGCGCCUUCCCACUACCAGUCUGCACCAUCACUGUUGUAUUCUGAGCAGCCGGAGAACCCCUACGGUUGCAAGAUUCCUGUAACUUGUAUUUGAGAUGCAUGUCCUAAUCGUCUUGGUUGUGGUCAGGUGUGGUAUGCAGGAAUCCGUCAGAAGAAUGUGGCACAUAAUAAUAGUUUCAUCAUCUCAUCUUCAUGCUACUUCCAGUUAAGUGCUAGAAAAAUAAAUGCCCGAGACAUGUUUUAAGGAAUUCAAAGACGAGUUCCCUUUGAAGAGCAAGCAAUCAUAGUACGGAGCAAGAUGAUUCGAAAUAGAGGUUCCCAUAAUUAGAGGCAAUUGAAUCAUAUAUGAUGAUUAGCCUAAUGUGCUGCUAUAACAUUUAAAACAUUUUUUUGACCUGGGAGCAAUCAGCAAACUCUGACCUCUUUGUAAUGUUUGAUUACCAUUUAUGUAGGGCUCUGUACUGCAGGACAACAUAUUCACUAUCAAUAUAUGGUCUAUUUCCAAUAUAAGGUGUAUGUCAAGUUAUACACUGACUACAGAAAGUGAUGCUCGACGACGAACAUCUGCUUGAGGACACCCUGCUCGACGAUGCUCCUCUUCGCUAGCAUCUCCAUUGCAUGAUAGGGGGAGAGUUCUUGUACUCAGAGCAGCUGUUGAUCUGCAGCAACUCUAGAAGUAGGAUUUAGGAUAAUCAUAGUUUCAGUUUGCCAAGCAGGGAGUAUAAUUUAACUGGAAAUCAACCAACUAUUGCUUUGAACUGGAGUAUAAUUACCGAAGCGGGUCGAAGUGGGACGAUGUGGUUCGGUGGUCAACGCCGGCUGCGCGGGAUGCAGUAUGGUAUGGCUUGAGCAUCUCGAGGAGGGGCUCUCUCCGCAAGGCAUCCUCUACGCCACGGCGGAGGUGUUCGAGUAGUCUGUCCCGGGGCUGCGCGUGGAGCACGUCGACGUCUCCGUCUUGCCAUUGCUCAGCACCGCCCUGCCGGCUGGGGUUCUUAUUUGCCAUCGAGGCCUUCCGCAACUGGGACCAUGGUGCCUGAUAGCUUCCUCUCCGGCUGGAUCGGCAGUCUAUCCACCCAAACAAGAGGGUCCUCAUGGAGAGUAUCCACAAGUCCGAGGCUGAGAAGGAAAGAGAGAAGACCCUCUCUGACCAGUUUGAGGCUUCAGUUUGAGGCCAAGCGUGCUAAGAGCAAGGCUAGCUAGCAGGGAGAGGAAUAUUGCGAGGAGGCAGGAGAGAUUGGCUCAGGUAAGAUGACUUUCACUUGAGCCCUGUCUAUUUCCUCACAUAGUUUGAUUUGUGCUGCAUUAUAUUGGUACUGAAAUACAUAAUGCGUGCACAUGUCUUCUGUUGGAUGUUUCAGAGAUGCUUAUGCAGGGUUUCUUUAAUCAUUUUGGUUCAUGGUACCAGCUAAUGAAAUUUACGUGCUCUGAUGAUGAAUUCGUGCCAUGUCGAGUUGGAUUGGCGGUGGCGUAUUUUUCCUCUUGUAGUCAAAUUAGUGAGAUGCUUCGUUCUCUUCUUUAUGUGAACGUACAUGUAUGACCAGUGUAAUUAGGUGCAGUAGUUUUGGUCAAUGUCAAAGCAGAAGAGAGCUACAUGUAUGACCAGUAUUGAAUCACGGCGAGAGAGUAAUGUAGCUUCGUCCCUCCCUGAUGCUGCUAAUGCAAGAUGCAUAGGAAUCUUAUUCAAUAUCAAAAAUUGACAUACCGUGCAAUCAUGUCUAAUGUCUUUCAUUAAAUCUCCGCGGAGGUGCCGGCCGGCUGGUACAUAUGUCAGUGCAUCAUCUAUCUCAGACUCUCAGUCACAGCUAUCUAAUUGGUGUAUAUUCAUCUCCAAUUACAGCCUCAUAAUUUUUUGGACAUUCAUUUACAGCCCGAUCUACUUGGAUGUGCAGACCUGGGAGUUGGAACAAUUCACCAAGAGAAGCCAGUUCGUGUAUAACAGAAUGGGUGGAAUUUAUCAUGAGAUCCUACCCAAAUCCGAGUACUUCUCCAAGGCACUGUACACCUUCCAUUUCGCUCAAAACAAUCUCUCUGUGGGCUACUUCACCAAUAAGACUACCAACAUAUUGAGGCCUAUGACCCCAAUCCGAAGGAGCGGUUCACUGUGGCAAUGCAGAUGCCCCGAGAAGAGGUAGUAGUGGUGGUGCGGGCGCGCCGUGGGCGAGGUGGGCUUCGGGUGUAGCGGCGGGUGCGGCUGCCCCAUCGAUGGCAGCGCGAUGCCCCCCGCCGUCGGGCCCACACCGCCGGACAUUGGCGGUGACCGGAGACUGUCGCGAUGAUUGUUGGUCGGUUGCGGAGCUUGCAACACGAGCUGGUAGCGCCAGCGUUGGCGAGAGAGUGAGGUGUCCCCAGUGCAGUAGGCGGGGGAAAGCUUAAGGCGACCAGUGCCCUCCGGUCCUCAUCGCUGCACGUCGAGGUCAAGUCUGAGGCUGCAAGCUGCAAGCUGAUGCAUCCACAGACAUCAUCGUCGACUGCAUCUUCAACCUCCGGAUGCCGCUUCCGUACACUGCUUCGUCAACCUCAGCCGUGACCCUUCCUCCCGGUCGCCGUGUUUAAUAUCCUAUUCGUCGGCCGCCUAUCUCGAGCACCGCGAGCGAGGUGGAUGCCCUGACUGCCAAUCACCAAGAAACUCCGCGGAAAGCUGCUGCAGAUAGGUGUUAUGCUGGUAUAUUCUUUCUGUAGCCUUUGUUCAGGUAAAUCAAACCAAGACUUGGAGACUAUAGAUAGCCACUCUUUUUUUACCAACCUUUGUUUUUGUUAAUAAUGAGUCUGACAAUGAAGUGACUACAUCUCCAUCUUUUCACCUUUGUUUCUACUGGGCUUCUCAAAGGUCCAUUCCUGUAAUAUUUUGGAGGACAUCUCCCAUUACAAUCGUUGGGGGUUUUCAAUUUAUGAGUAAGGCACGCGAAGCUCCCUUACAAACCCAACAAAUCGUACUUCGGAAUCAUUGCAUUUUUCUUCAUCGGCUUCGUCACAUCAAACACGUAAGCAAAAGGCAAUAUAUAUACUACUGGACCCUGAAGCCCCAAAUCAUCUUCUGUUUUCUAUGUACUCCCAUGAUUAUUUAGCAAAUGCCAAAAAUAGUGUUUCUUUCAUGCGUACAUCGUUUCGUUUGGAGUUUUGCCCACUUGAUCUGAAUAUGAGGAAGGACAAAUAUCUUGUAGCAGAUCAGAUUCAGGUCAUGUCAUGAUUCCUUAAGGGCCUCAUUACUGGUGGUGUUUCUUUCUUCCAUGGUGAUUCCUAUUUUUCAUAGUUGUACUAGCAGGAUUAUCAUAACAACUAAGCAAAUGCCUAGCUGGAAAUUUGAGAGGCGUGUGAUCAGGUGUCAAUACUUAAAGAAAGAGCCUUUAGUUUUUCUUAAUCAGAAUGCAGAAAUUUAAGCAUGUAGAUCUUUGAUGAAAACAUAAUUAAGAUAUUGCUGAGGUAAUCUCAUGUUACCUUUGUAUUAUGUUAGCCUACUAAUUUACUAUAUCCAGGUCAUAAUAUUGUUGCUAUUUUCAUGAACUACGUAAUGGUUAAUGACACAACUCAAUGAACUAAGUAUUGAGAGCAUGGGCUGUUGCGGUGGACCGGUGGUAACGACAAGCUCAGAGGGUUUUGCCACUGUGAUCAUGUUGGUCGUGCUAGCACUGACAACGUAGAGUAUACAAUAUACUGCUGGGACCAGUGACACUUAUUCUACUUCCUUAACAGCGGGCAAAUUGGUAAUUUUUGGUCGAUAUAGCAAGUUUGAGAAGACCCAAUUUUGUUAUACUAUGUAAGUUGAUACACUUUUUAUAUGUUCGAUUGGUGAUAUUGGAAAUAGCUAAGCUUACUGGUGUGAUCCAUCUAAGAAAAUCUCACACAAUGACAUAAACCUAUAUCUAGAAUGAUACGAGGACUGUGAAAUAAGAAGGAUGUGAUGCUACUAUGUUCUGGUGGAUUGUAAGAUGGCAUUUGAGGAUUUACUAAGUAUUUAAUGAUUGGAAACAUUACUCUUGGUAUGUUUAUAGGCGAGGCUGCUGGCGCCUUGCAUGGAUUUCUUUCUUCUUUCUUUCCAGCUCCCUGUAACUGUUUUCUUCUACCGCUUCAUAAGUGAAAAUCAGCAAUCUGCUGCUUUUUCAUCAAGAAAAACUCUUGAUAUGUUCUAUUUUUCAGGUCUUGCAUACUGUUGUCGGUAAUAUGUUAGCAAAAGUUCAAUGAUAUUUGUUUAAAGCGAGAAUUCUUCACCGUGUUUUAACUUUUACAUGCCCUAAAGAUAGAAACAUCUAAUCUUAUGAAUUUGAAUUUGCGCUUCAAGAAAACUUGAAUUGACUUGUCCACGACGAUUAUUUCCAAGUACAUCAGUUCAAGGCAGGGGGUUGGCGGGUUCAACUAGGGGCUGCGAGGGUCAUCAGAUCAGUAUGUUCGUGGGUAUGGGACGGGCCCACACCAACAUCGGCGUUGCAGUGGCGAGCGACAAGGGGCGAAGCUGAGCAGGAGCUGUUGCCCGUGUCAACCCGCGACCGCUAUAGCGCGAUGUGGAGGGCAACUCCUCCUUGUCCCCCUCCACCUCGAGAACGAAGGCAUCCCAGUCAUCCUCUUUGCCGGAUCUGUCACCUCUGGCAUCGUCGAUGUCGACAUUGGGACAGAGAGGGGGAGGGGAAUGGACGUGGAGUGGAGGUGAAUCGAUGGAGUGUGGAUUGAAAGUGAAGUGGACUUAGGGUUUGCUUCGGGUGGGGAUUUUAGUGGGGACAAAGUGGGGUCGACGCGGGCUAGCAUGGGCCAGGCUAAUGUGGCGGACGCGGCCUUCCUAUAUCGGCCCCAGAUUUUGGUUAGAUAUGAUGGGUGUGUGACAACCCAUGCCUAUAGGUUGUUAUGAGUCAUCGGUCUGCGUCGGUUUUUCUGACCGGUUAGUGUCUGGGCCUUUCGAUCGGGCGUAUAGGGGCGGUUUUUGGUGCUCGGAUGUAGAUGCUCUCUAUUGUGGCGUAGUGAAGAUAAAAACAAAAUUUCUUCAAAUGUUUGUCUUUUUCAUGCCAGUGAAGAUAAAAACAAAAUUUCUAAUAUUUCAAAAGCCCAUGGCAACGCACGGGCAUUCUAUCAUAAUAACAGAGGAUGGUGCUUGCAGUUGUUGUGGGUGCUGAUGGUUCCCCUGUCUUGGUUGGAUCGACGGGUGAAGAAAAAGACAAACAUUUGGAGGAAGACCAGCGACAAUCGAGCUCGACUAAAACACACAUUUCUUUUUAGUUAAUUGCAAAGGCACUCCCUUCAAAUUUCCAUGCAUUGUGACCAUACGAAUAUAUUUUACUUCUAUUAUCACUAUAUUCAAAAUAAUAUUAAUUUAGGAAAUUACCGAGAUUUGUCUGGCUAUUAUUUCUUUAUGCUCUGGUGGAAUGGUAAAGAAUUACUUCAUCCGGUUUGUAUGAUGGGUAUUCUCUGUUAGACAUUUUAAUCCCUUUGACGUGAAGUAUUUUUGCUAACUGCAUAUAUUGCUUGUGCAUAAUGGGUACGAGUUCAGGUCCUUCAGGAAGAUGUUUUUAUUAUACUUGCUCGAAUUUCAUGCCAGUGAAGAUAAAAACAAAAUUUCUGAUAUUGUGCGAGAUUUCUUAAGUGCAUAAAAUAGUAGAUCUUAAUUUGUAACAAUUUUUUAGAAGGUCAAAUUUCCUUUUUGCUAUCAAUUAACAUUGCAAGUGAAGUGGAUUUAAAUUGUUACUCGAUUGGGCCCAUGAUAUCUAUUCUCUACACAUGAAAUUUAACAUGCUUUAUAUUUACAUAGCUCCAGCAAAAUAUUUCAAAAGCCCAUGGCAACGCACGGGCAUUCUAUCAUAAUAACAGAGGAUGGUGCUUGCAGUUGUUGUGGGUGCUGAUGGUUCCCCUGUCUUGGUUUUUUGGAAUGGUGAUUCAAGAAGGGACACCAUGGUGUGGAUGGACCAUAGGGCUCUUGACCAAGUCGAGUGAAUUAAUUCUCACAGUUCACCGAAUUGCAUUGGCAAAUCAUGAAAGGUGUAAUGUUCACGGAUUUUUGUUAGAUGAUCUGUUGGUCCGGUUUAAUUUUAGCGUGCAUGAGGCAUCUGGGAAACAUGUUUCAAGGGCCUUGUUUGUCGAUCUGGAGCCCACUGUUAGUAGAUUAUGGCAGUAAAUCAUAAUAGGUCAUGUUGUUGGACGAGGGCGGGCUGGCGGAGGGCGUGUCGGCGGACGACGUGGAGGUUGUGUUCGGCUCCAUCGGCCGCAUCGUCGGCAUCGAGUUCGUGCGCACCAGCGGCCCUAGCUUCGCCUACGUCGGCUUCCACUGCCCCUCCCACAAGGUCAUGACCAAGUUCUCCACCUUGUUGUGGGUGCUGAUGGUUCCCCUGUCUUGGUUUCUUGGAAUGGCGAUUCAAGAAGGGGCAUCAUCGUGUGGAUGGACCAUAGGGCUCUUGACCAAGUUGAGUGAAUUAAUUCUCACAGUUCACCGGUAUUGCAAUUUUAUGGUGGGAGUUUCUCCCUAGAAUACAGAUAAAUAGUUUUGAAUUAUUUCGUAAGAUCGGUAGACAACAUUUGCUGUGUAUUUUACAGUUACCGGCGUUGAUUGUAUCGUAUUGAUUUACCUUUUAAAACAUUUAUGGGUAAAGGAAAAUCUACAAAAAUCUUGGUUUAUGUUAUAUAGGUGAGUUUCAACUCACAACCUCUCUAAGCUUGUAAUAAGCUAUGAGCUGAAUUUCUAACAAGUUUGCUUUCAUUCUUUUUUUCUAGGGAAACUGGUGAUGAAACACGCAGCUUAUCACACAUGAGCAGCGGAGGGAGUUAAAAUCGUGUGGUAUGGAACCAUGUGGAAGGGGUGAAGUCUUUUGGGCAGAAAGUUUGGGAGACCUUUAUGAAGAGAGCUACGCAAAAACAGGAGUUAGGCUUGCUUCCCGGGACUCUUGUUGGGACUUCCCUUAUGAUGCUUAUGCCGGGUGUCUUGGAGUCAUGGAAAGUGUGCCAAAUGCAGAGUUUAAAGUUGAAACGAUGAUACCUGAGUUUUGGCUCAAGGAAUGUGGCCAAAGUGCAACUGGCGCUUUACUUGAUUACAUUGCUCAAAACCAUAUUGCGGCUCCCUUUUCUUGCUAAUCAAGCUGCUUCUGAAAGAUUUCUUGUGCUUCAAAUUUUGUUGAUCGAAAGCGGAGUAAGGAGCCCAUCUUUCAUGGAAUCAUCUACAACGAUGCACGACUGGAUCGAAUUGAAGAGCAAAUAUAUUUUGGCGAGGAAGGACAAAUGUUGAUUAGGUUUCAUUUUAAUUAGGCUUCAUCUUUGUUGCAGUCAGUUGAUUUCAGAAAGUAUUACAUUCAGAUUACUUGAAGAUAGACAAAAGCCUGAAUUCUUAUUAGCUGGUGGUUGAGCCAUACAAACGUUGUUCUAAUUUCUACAAGGCAAGUCGAGAUUGACUUUCAAAACUAAGGAUUAUGCAGCCAUAAUCUGACAUUAAAUUAAUUGAAUUAGAGAAUUGGAGGCUGGAGAAGUCGGUUGCACAGGGCAAAAAAGAAACAGAAUUGGCUCAUAGUCUGGGGAAAUAUGAUGGGCGAGCAGGUGUGUUGGGCACUCGUCAAUGCGAGGCGUCACCGAUCAACAUACUAACACCCUGCUUUAGACCUGGCGUAUCCAACUAGAUGUGCAUGCUUAGCAACCUCAAAGAGUCUGUUGGAGACACAUUUGUGCAUACCUGCGAUGGCUCAUGCGUCCUUUCACUUAAUUAGAAUUUUCUUCUUAAUGAUACGACUGUUGUUAGUUAUUUUUGGAUUCGAAUUUAAUUUGUGUGGAGUUCCUUAAUGCACAAUAUGACAGAUUAACUUGUUGUUUCAGUUCAGUUCGUAGGCGUAGCUUUCUCAUUUGGUAUGUGGUAUACAAUGUACUUUAUCAAUAUGGUGACUUUUUGAUAGUUGUGAUGUUACCACUUCUGCAUUUAGUAUGUCGUAUAUAAUCUAUCUGUAUGAUAAUGGUUGUCAUCUUGAUUCUUGGAUCCAAAUCAAACGACACAUGUGACAGCCGUGGCAGCCUCGGCCUGUGGUGGCCGAAAGGGUGCGCAACAUGGAGGCAUGGAGGUGAGGCAGGAGAGGUCGUGGUCAGACUGGUACUGCACUGAGUGUAGAGGAGUUUGGUGUAUACGGUAAUUCUUCCUACAUUGUUGUUAUUGAUUGAUGGUGAAUCUAAAAGGAUGGAGAAGAAAACCCUAAAAAUUUGCGUGUGGAUGUGGAAGGUUGGGUUUGUGAGCUAGGUGUGCCAUUGAUGUCAGUGGCGAAGUUGGAUCAGGAAAGAAGAAGAACAUGAGUGAUUUAACGGUAAAUAAGAAAUCAAUAAUGCUGCUUGAUGUGCAUGAUGAUGUUCAUAUGAUUGAUGUUGAGCCUAUACAAUAUGUACCACACCCGUUGCAACGCACGGGCAAAUUGAAUCUAUUAUGGUAACUUUUAUGCCAUGUUAUUAUAAGUAUUUAUGCCAUCUUCUUCUUUAGAAAACAGGUUAGUAGAAAUUCUCUUUUCUCGCCUUUCUUAUUACAUGGACUCAACUAACAAUGUGGCAACAGGUUCUAUCACUCGGGUAAAGAGCGCACACAGCUGGACGUCGUAUAUUCCUUUAAUCUAGGAAUAUGUCUAGCUAUUUUGUUUUUCAUUUUAUGCUCUGGUGGAAUGGUAAAGAAUUGGUCAAGCCGGUUUACGCGGAUGAGUAUGAGUUGAGGAAGCAAUUUUUUAUUAUACUUGCUAAAACAUCAUGGGAAUGAAACUAAAGGCAACUUUCAUGAUAUUGAUAGUUUUGUAAUAGAUGUUAAGGUCGAACAUCGUUACAUGGACAUGUCGUUAAUCUUUUUUUAUCAAUUUACGUUGCAAAAAUGAAUUUCAAUUAUUCAAUAAUUGUGUUUGUGUUAUAUUAUUUGUAUGUGUGGUAUUCAAUAUGUAACUCUUGCAAACUAUUUCAAGAGCCCGUGGCAACGCAUGGGCACUCUACUAUAUAUUUGGUCCAGGAGUAGUACAUAGAGCAUUUCUGGAUCAGAUAUACACACGCUAUUCACCUUCAUAACCCGAUUUUUUUUGCUUAUGAUGAUGUUUAUUAUCGGAAAGCUCUUGACAAAAGCAUCAAGUAAUGGGCCAAUACUCAAAUAACUGACUCACCUACAAUCUUUUUUUCUAACGGCAGUAUUAUAUACACAAUAAUAAUUUUUUACAUUUUUCUUAUUGGGAGGCCUGAGACAUUGCUGAAGCCUUUUGAAGUGAUCGAUUUGAGACACUAAAGACUCCGGAGAGCGUUUGUGUGGAGUUUGUUUCUUUUGUUCUGCAUAACUGUGAUGCCUUGAUGCGGGGUUGUAUUGUGAUCUGAACUUUAGUUUGGUUCGAUGCGUGUUGAUGGUGCUUCAGGGUUUUCGCCUCGUAGUGGGCGUUUCGAUUGCGAGCGCUCACAGCGGGUUUCCCUGAAGUGCUUGAUCCCGCUGUUUCCCUUUCCCUUGUUUGAACUUGGAACUGGCUGUAUUUCCGUUAUAUUUUUAAUGGAAAGGGGAUUAGCCCGGGUCAAAAAAAACAUUUUUCUUAUUGUUGCAAAUAUAUAUCUUGGUAGUUAUAAAUGAUACAUCUAUUUGAUCAUCAAAUGCUUAUCUGUAGUGUUUAGGAGAGUUUUUUUGAUUGGAAAUGACUUUUGAUUCUUGGUUCUUGAGGUGGUAUAUUACUCUGAAGCACUUCAAUUCUUGGCUCUGGCUAAGCAUAAUAUAUUACUUUACUACUGAGAUUUGGCUACUAAUGAUAUAUGUUACCAUUGUUUUUGUUGUCUUUGAUAGUAUAAAAGAUCGGAAGUGCAUCAGCUAUCACUGCUCCUGUUUGUUGGUAUGGGUUUCACAUCGUUGUCAAUUUUGAUAUGUUUCACGGGAUGAAUGAUGCGUCAGAUUCUUCUAAAACUGCCACUAUUCAGUAUGUAUCCGUCGCAACCCUAAGUUAUGUCUGUCAUGCAUUCAUUAUCUUUAUUUUUUGAGGCUCAAU